CGAUUCUCUCCGAGUUUCCGACGCUGAACCAACCCUCCUUAAUUACUUACAGAAAGAGGGACGGGAGUGUGAGCAUCUGAGAGACCCUCCUGUAGGACUUGGAGGGAGUGGCGCACAGGACUUUCCUUACAAGCUGAGAUGAGAAAACUGAAGCACAGCAAGGUGAAAUAACUGCCCCCCAAAUCAUGUAGCCAUCCAGUUCUGGAGCUGGGACUGCAGCUCAGAUUCCUCAGGGCUUUGAAAAAGCCACAAAUGCUGCAUACAGUGACACCACCCAGCGGGCUGGCAGACACUGCUUCCAUGCGCCCUGCCCGAAGCGAUGGCAUAGAAGCAAGCCCUGACAACUGACGCUCCAUCGUACACCUCGUGAGAGGCAAGACAGCUUUGAGAACGUGACCCCCAAGUACCCAUCGGCCUAGCCGGCAAAGGGGGGGCUUCACAUAAGUGCCACCCAGUGGACUGGUCCGUCACAUACCUCCGUUUGAUUCAAAAUACAUCUGCAAGGGUGAUAUCUUUUGAUCACUCAUGUCAUCAAUUGUUAGACACGUGAGAACUCUCCAGAAGAUCAAGUGCUAUGCAGUAGUUUCCAUGCACAGGCUCCGUAGAGCCCUGGCCUUUGAGGAAGCCCCGUUCACCUACCCACAGGAAGAAGUUUGCAAAGGAGAGGGGAACCAUGGACAAAUCACCUGUCUGUACAAACUGUGAUUGGAGUUCUGAAUUGAAAACAUGAGUUAAUCCUGAGGUGAUGCUUUCUGGAAGGCCCAACUUUCCAGGGGUAAGAAGGGUUCUUUGGGUUUACACCAGGAAGUUCUGGGACAGCUCACAUUGUAUUUUUACCACGUAUCUUCCGCCCGUAGCAGUAUGAGAGUGUAAAUCUGCCUGGAAACAUGAAGCUCAUGAAACAACAUGAAAGUGUACAGAAUUUCCUUCCCCCCACCCCACCCCCAGAAUGUGGAAGUACCAGGAUUUUCUAAUGAAAUGUCAGAUGGAAGAUGAAGAAAAGGAGGCAGAGACAGCCAAAACCUCACCAAAAGCCUGUUUACGAAGUUGACAUUGGGAGUGAAGAGGUCCGUGUGAGGGUGUAAGAAUGACCCUCCACAUGAGAAAAUAACUCAGCGACAAACAGCAACGGCCUGGUCAUGGUCCCCAUCACUGGGAUUUCUGCAGGUGAUCGAUCAGUAGGAGCAUAGCGUUGGUGGAGGGAGCCGGUAUUUCCAGAAGUAACUGUGCUGCUCCAAAAGGAAACCGGAGAAGGGGGGCGUGACCCCUGAAUAAAGAAGAGUCUAUUCGUUUAAAGACCCUCUCCCAGGGAUUCUUGGCAGGGAGAGACAGCUUUCCUGAGCUUUCCUGCUGCGCCAGCUAUUGGUAGGCUGUAUCUCUGUCCAUGGUCCUAUUUCUCUGCCUCAAACCUCUUGGAAGGUUUUACAAGAAUUCAGAGGGAGGUUCCAAUGUGCCUUGUACGAAGGCACUGAAGUAUUCUAGAUAGAGCUGAGAAGUUGAGAGAAAAGGGAAUAUUGUGGGUGCAGCAGGUCUUGAGUAUUUGGAAAGAAGUUCUGACUUUGCAGUAGAUGCCACCAGCAGAAGGGGAUGGCACGGGACUGUCCUUCUCCUUAACAAUGAUGAACAGCAGCUCGCAGUGGAGGGAGCUCCCCUCACGCUGAAUAAAACCUGCUUGCUGAGAAGGAUACCAUCAGCUCCCUAACAUUUCAUAUUUUUAAUGAAAGAUUUCCUUCUCCCUAAUGCUUUUCAUCAUUUCUUUCUGACCCUCCUAAAAGACCAGCUGAUAUUCACGUCCGCGUUUCCAGAUAUGAAGAAAGAGACUAACGAAGCUUCUCCAAAGACUUAGGUUCUUUCUAUUAACCAAUAUUUUUACCUAAGCCACUGGGGAUACAUAAAUGGUGAGAGUAACUCAACUGAGAAAGACAUUUUAUGGGCGUCCUAGAGUAAUCGCCUAUCUUGCUAAAAGAAACAGCAUUUCUUGAGAUCCCAGGAGGAGUCUGGCACGACACAAAGUGACAUGAGCAUGAGAGUGCAGAACAUAAUGUUUGGGAACAGAAUGAUCCUCCAGGGACUGAAAAAUUAAUGUAGAUCCAAAACUGUUAAAAAAAAAUAAAAUACAAGGGUUAGUUGUAAUAAAUUAUGGGAAAAUAAAGUGAAAGGUGUAGGAGCAAAACUCCCAAGCAUAGUGAUAAACUAUGGAACGACGAAAACAGACUGUGACAAGCCAAUUAACCUCAGGAGAACACAGACUCAUGUGAUGGGCAGAAUACAAGAUACCCUGCGAUGUCAAUUUUGCAGACUCAGUUACUUGUCGACCCACACAAAAUCAAUAGCUGUUUCUGAUGGGCCACUGGCAAAAAAAAAAUGUACUUACUGUUGUUUUCUAUAGAUGGAGUCCAAACCAUCUAGCAUACAAUAAAGUGAUAAGGGGGAAAAUAUGUGGGUUGGCAAACUUUUAAUUUACAAAACUGGUGAUCUAAUUCUGGGUGAUAGCUCUAGUGGAAAUAGGUGCAAUUGGGUUUGUGGAUGCUGAUUUUCAUCAGCAACUAGGAACUCUGUUAAAAGCUCAAUUUGGCCUACUUUCGGUUCCCUGAGUAAGUUAGUAGGGGAAUUUUCAUUAGGCAAUUUGUUAUAUGUUGGAAGAGGAAAAAAAGCAAUGCGUGAACACUGUGCUAUAUAUACAUAGAAAGGUAUUUUAAUAGAAAUAUGUACUCUACUUGAGGACGUUUCCCCAUCCAGCUGGUGGAAAGUGCUUGGAAAUGCAGGGACCUAAAUGGUCCUGAGACUGAGCUUUUGCCAUCACCCUGAUUUUCCUGUUUUAACAACUUCAGCUUUGCUGGCGUACCAAUGCCAGGAGAGUUAGUUUUCUAUAUUAACUGUCCGCUUCUGUUUUGGGCUCCCUCUUGGUCACUGCAACUCUGUUCAUUUUGAUACAUAUCUUCUCAGGUUUUCUAGUAUCAUAGUAAUAGGAAAAGACAAAAAUGUCUAGAAAUAUUUGUUCCAUUGUGGAAGGGAAUAAAUAAGUCAGUCCUUCCAACCGAGAAGAACCCUUGAUUCUCUCCCUUCACCUUCUUGUAUCAAAUAACAAAAAGAGGCUUAAAGAAAUAGUUUUAUUUUUCUCAUAAACAAAAUGUCUGGCAAAAGAUGGGUGCUGGUGUUGGUUCAGCUGCACAACUACACCGUCAAUGACCCAAACUAUCUAUAUCUAUCUAUCUAUCUAUCUAUCUAUCUAUCUAUCUAUCUAUCUAUCAAUCAUCUAUCUAUCAUCUAUCUAUCAAUCAAUCAUCUAUCUAUCUAUCAUCUUCUAUUUCACCAUCCUUAACAUGUUGGCCUUUAGUCAUCAUGUCUUCUGUUUUGUUGUUGCAGGAUGUCUGCCAUGACUCCAGGCGCUAUGAGGGUGUUCCAGAUAGCCAUUAUAUCCAUCUCCGGAAGGUUUUCCCUUAGGUCUCAUUAGCCAGAAAUGAAUCACCCCUAGCUGCCACGAGAUUGGGAAAUUGAGUAUCUAGUAAAAGAGAACGGGAUUGUUAUGAUUGAAUUAUACCAAUCAUGAUUCAUCACUUGGGGCUGGACAUAUUGCCAUCCUCAACAACGUCAGGGUUCUGUUAGCAAGGAGGAAGAGAGGAACGGCUGUUGGGGAGGAAAUGAACACAGUUUGUCAGGCUUCUUAUUCCCAGAUGACCUGUCUCACUAUAGCACCAUCAUGCAGUGCCCAAACCAAUAAUAGAACUUGGAUUCCUUGCUUUCUCUGAGGUCCCACCUACAAACCACCAGAAAGUUUUGUUGACUCUACGUCCCAUAUAUACCCCCAAUCUGCUCGGUUCUUCCCAUCUUCACUGCUACUAGCCUAAUUCAAGUCAUCAUUGUUCACCUGGAUUAUUGCAACUGCCUCCUAAAGAGCUCUGUACUUUCACUCUUGCCCUCCGCAAUUCAUUGCCCAAACCAAAAAUCACUUCCUUGCCUAAAACCCCCAUUGCCUCCCAUCUCACCUAAAAUUCAAAUUCCUUACUGUGAACUUCCAUGACUAAAAGAUCUAGGUUCUGUCCUUCUGUUCAACUUCAUCUUGUACCACCUUUCCAUUUUCUUCUGAGUACCAGCCAUCUAGGCCUUCUUUCUCUUCCUCACACUCAAAUUUGGUACCAUCUUGGCGACCUUUGAACCGUCUCUUCUCUCCAUUAGAAUGCUCUUCCUUUCUGAUCUUUUCACAACCAUCUCCUCCGUACCAUUUAGAUCACUGUUCAACUGUCGUCUUUUCACAGAGGUAUUAUCUGGCCACCCAAUCGAAAAUAGCCAACUGGUCAUCCAUCACUUCACUCUAUUUUACUUCUCUGUAUUGUGCCUAUCGCUGUCUAACAUUGUCUUGUUUACCUCUAUACAUACCAUGUCACGAGAGAGAACUAUUUCUUUAUUUUUCAACUCCUGCACACUAGAAUGAAUAUAAGCUCCCCGAGAGUAGAAACUUUGUCUGUUGUGUUCACGUCUGUAUUCCUGGCACCUAGAUCCAGGCACAUGGUAGGUUUGCCUCACAUAUUUCUGAAUGAAUGAAUAAAUGAAGGGAAAGAUUUUUAAGUAGAAACUAGAGCAGUAAAAAUAACAUCGGUAACAUUUUGCCAUUAUCCUUAGAGUUAUCCUUUAUAGAGCAACAUUACGUUGUUAAAGGAUAUAAGUGUGUUAUGUUUUAAAGACCUCACAAUUCAGAAGCAGACACUAAUUUCUCCCACCCAGCCUUUUUCUUCUUGUAUCCUCCUUUCCAAAGCUAAACUCACCACCUAUACUCUUAAGCUUAGUGUUCUCUCAGUGCAGUUAUUCUCCACUGACUUCUUUCCUUUUGCCUAAUAUUAUGACUACAUUUUUUCACCAUUUUCUAAAGGUCUGGGACAAUUUAAAAGAAACAUCUGGGCCACAUCCUCCUCUCCAUUUUUGGCCAAGAUUUCAAGAAGGGGAAAACCCAAAUGUUCUUGGAAGAAGAGAGAAAUACUUAGCAUCUGAAAUUUUCUGCCUUUUUCUGAGGUUUUCACAUGUCUAUAUAUGUUCUUUCUAAAGGCAAAAACUGUUUCCACUCUCUUCACCAGAAAGCCAGAUUUUUCAACAGGCUGUCCUCCAGGUAAAAUACGAAAAUCAGAGAAAUUAAUAGUCAUCUUCCUUCACCUCCCUUUCUGCGAUCCUCUCAGCCCUUUCUAUACUUUCUCAGUCCCGAGGUGACCCUCUGCAGGCCCAGGCUUCUUGAUCAGCAGCUCGCUGGGCCAAUGGCUCGGCCUGCAUUCCAGCCUCCCCUGCAUCUGGCAGGCAUGGCACACUGAAAUUGUGCAACAGCAACUUUGGGAAGUUCACAUCCACACGAGGGGCGGAGUAUCCUGGUGACGCUGAUCCAGCAUAAUCCAAAAUGCCCCUAUGUUUAGAAACGUCCUCAAAUACUGCUCAUAAAUUGCACACAGAGAAUCCCUGGGGUUUUGAACUUCUGGACUUGCCAGCAGAAAAUAACAAAGAUCGUCUUCAAAGGUCUUCAGUGACUAUAUUAAAAACUGAAAUAAACUGUCUGUACUCACCCAAUCUCAGCCCCUCCCCUUUCCUCACCUGUCAUCACCAUCCCCCCUCCCCACCCGCGGAUAUAUACACCCAUGUCUAACUGCACACCUACACGUUACCUCUUGGACAUUCACAGGCCCCUGAAACACAUGUCCUAAAACAGCCUUGGCAGCAUUUUUGAUAAUGUAUCAGUAAAAAAUACGGGAUGUCUACUCUCAAAAUAUGUAUAUUAUGAAAUAAACAAUAUAUAUAUAUAUUUAUAUAUUUAAAACAAAAAAGGAAUAAAGUAAAAAAUUAAAUUCUGUGGUUUAA